AAGUUGGUUAGUAUCUAUCCUCCUUGAGUUUGAGGGGGGCUGUAAGUGUGGUAGGUAGAUGUAAGUGUGUUAGGUGAGAGUUGAGUGUGGUAGGUGAGUAUGUUUUUCUCUUCUAUAUAUAGGAGAGUCAUUGUAUACAUUCAAUACAACAAA